GCAUCGGUGGUUCAGUGGUAGAAUGCUUGCCUGCCACGCGGGUGGCCCGGGUUCGAUUCCCAUCCGAUGCA
rnacentral:tRNA from 1 species